AGCAGUAGCCGCGGUAAUACAGAGGGUGCGAGCGUUAAUCGGAUUUACUGGGCGUAAAGCGUGCGUAGGCGGCUAAUUGAGUCGGAUGUGAAAUCCCCGAGCUUAACUUGGGAAUUGCAUUCGAUACUGGUUAGCUAGAGUGUGGGAGAGGAUGGUAGAAUUCCAGGUGUAGCGGUGAAAUGCGUAGAGAUCUGGAGGAAUACCGAUGGCGAAGGCAGCCAUCUGGCCUAACACUGACGCUGAGGUACGAAAGCAUGGGGAGCAAACAGGAUUAGAGACCCCGGUAGUCCCUGUCUCUUAUAC
rnacentral:rRNA from 1 species